rnacentral:rRNA from 1 species
AACGAACGCUGGCGGCAUGCCUAACACAUGCAAGUCGAACGAUGCUUUCGGGCAUAGUGGCGCCCGGGUGCGUAACGCGUGGGAAGCUGCCCUUGGGUUCGGAAUAACAGUGAGAAAUUGCUGCUAAUACCGGAUGAUGUCUUCGGACCAAAGAUUUAUCGCCCAGGGAUGAGCCCGCGUAGGAUUAGCUAGUUGGUGUGGUAAUGGCCUACCAAGGCGACGAUCCUUAGCUGGGCUGAGAGGAUGAUCAGCCACACUGGGAGUGAGACACGGCCCAGACUCCUACGGGAGGCGGGAAAGGGUAAUAUAGGACAACGGGCGCAAUGCUGAAGCAGCACGGCCGGGAGAGCGAUGUAGGCAGGAGGGUUGUAAUGCGCUUUUACCCGUGAUGGUAAUGACAGUACCGGGAGAAUAAGCCCCGGCUAACUCCGUG